GGAAUUUUCUGCAAUGGGCGCAAGCCUGACAGAGCAACACCGCGUGAGGGAAGAAAGCCUACGGGUUGUAAACCUCUUUUCUCAAGGAGGAAGUUCUGACGUUACUUGAGGAAUAAGUAUCGGCAAACCCUGUGCCAGCAGCCGCGGUAAGACAGGGGAUGCAAGCGUUAUCCGGAAUUAUUGGGCGUAAAGCGUCUGCAGGUGGAGCAGGAAGUCUUUUGUUAAACCUCUGGGCUUAACCCAGAAACUGCAAAAGAAACUCCUGUUCUUGAGGAUGGUAGAGGUAAAGGGAACUUCCAGUGGAGCGGUGAAAUGUGUAGAGAUUGGAAAGAACACCAAAGGCGAAAGCACUUUACUGGGCCAUACCUGACACUGAGAGACGAAAGCUAGGGGAGCAAACGGGAUUAGAGACCCCGGUAGUCCUAGCUGUAAACGAUGAAUACUAGAUGUUGUCUUAAAGGUCUUUUAGAAAUAAAUUUUCUAGAAGAGACAUUUAUGGACGGUGUCGUAGCUAACGCGUUAAGUAUUCCGCCUGGGGAGUACGUUCGCAAGAAUAAAACUCAAAUGAAUUGACGGGGGCCCGCACAAGCGGUGGAGCAUGUGGUUUAAUUCGAAGCAACGCGAAGAACCUUACCAGGCCUUGACAUCCAAUGAACUUUCUAGAGAUAGAUUGGUGCCUUCGGGAACAUUGAGACAGGUGCUGCAUGGCUGUCGUCAGCUCGUGCUGUGAAGUGUUUGGUUAAGUCCUAUAACGAGCGCAACUCUUGUUUUAUGUUGUUAAUUGUAUUACUAUGUGUAAUCAAAAUACUUAUAAAAGACUGCCAAUGAAAAUUGGAGGAAGGUGAGAACGACGUCAAGCCCUUAUGGCCCUUAUGAACUGGGCUACACACGUGCUACAAUGGUAAACACAAAAAGUUCUACAAUAAAGCAAUUUGGAGUAAAUCUAAAAAAGUUACCGUGUACAGAUUGAAGACUGCAAUUCGUCUUCAUGAAGGUGGAAUCACAAGUAAUCGUAAAUCAGCAUGUUACGGUGAAUAUGUACUUAGACUUUGCACACACCGCCCGUCACAUGCUAGGAGUAAGCUUUGUUUG
rnacentral:rRNA from 1 species